CUGAGACACGGCCCAGACUCCUACGGGAGGCAGCAGUGGGGAAUUUUCCGCAAUGGGCGAAAGCCUGACGGAGCAACGCCGCGUGAGGGAUGAAGGCCUCUGGGCUGUAAACCUCUUUUCUCAAGGAAGAAGAUCUGACGGUACUUGAGGAAUAAGCCACGGCUAAUUCCGUGCCAGCAGCCGCGGUAAUACGGGAGUGGCAAGCGUUAUCCGGAAUUAUUGGGCGUAAAGCGUCCGCAGGCGGCCUUUCAAGUCUGCUGUUAAAACGUGGAGCUUAACUCCAUCAUGGCAGUGGAAACUGUUGGGCUUGAGUGUGGUAGGGGCAGAGGGAAUUCCCGGUGUAGCGGUGAAAUGCGUAGAUAUCGGGAAGAACACCAGUGGCGAAGGCGCUCUGCUGGGCCAUAACUGACGCUCAUGGACGAAAGCCAGGGGAGCGAAAGGGAUUAGAUACCCCUGUAGUCCUGGCCGUAAACGAUGAACACUAGGUGUCGGGGGAAUCGACCCCCUCGGUGUCGUAGCCAACGCGUUAAGUGUUCCGCCUGGGGAGUACGCACGCAAGUGUGAAACUCAAAGGAAUUGACGGGGGCCCGCACAAGCGGUGGAGUAUGUGGUUUAAUUCGAUGCAACGCGAAGAACCUUACCAGGGUUUGACAUCCUGCGAAUCUCUUGGAAACGAGAGAGUGCCCUCGGGAACGCAGUGACAGGUGGUGCAUGGCUGUCGUCAGCUCGUGUCGUGAGAUGUUGGGUUAAGUCCCGCAACGAGCGCAACCCACGUCUUUAGUUGCCAGCAUUUAGUUGGGCACUCUAGAGAGACCGCCGGUGAUAAACCGGAGGAAGGUGUGGAUGACGUCAAGUCAUCAUGCCCCUUACAUCCUGGGCUACACACGUACUACAAUGCUACGGACAAAGAGCAGCAAGUUCGCGAGGACAAGCAAAUCUCAUAAACCGUGGCUCAGUUCAGAUCGUAGGCUGCAACUCGCCUACGUGAAGGAGGAAUCGCUAGUAAUCGCAGGUCAGCAUACUGCGGUGAAUACGUUCCCGGGCCUUGUACACACCGCCCGUCACACCAUGGAAGUUGGCCACGCCCGAAGCCGUUACUCCAACCCUUGUGGAGGAGGACGUCGAAGGUGGGGCUGAUGACUGGGGUGAAGUCGUAACAAGGUAGCCGUACCGGAAGGUGCGGCUG
rnacentral:rRNA from 1 species